AGGCACGCACUCUGAGAGGAAUGAGAAGGGAUCCCUAUGGCGACGGAGACAGAGAGCCCAGGAGGUAGGGACGCACGUCCAGACGACAAGGGGAAUUUUGGGGAGCGAGGCACCCUUCCCCAGAUUGUGUCCUGCAGUGAAAAGACAGCCUCUGCGGCUCAGAUGCCCUUCAUCAGGCAAAGGAAAAAUCAAAGCUGUUAAGAGUUCUCCCAGGUAGAAAGGAAACUUCAUCUUGCAGACAAGAAACCAGAGAUGUUGGGGUUUCUCCCAAGUGGAAAGCACCAGACAUUGGAGUCAGUCAAGAGAUUGAAAGGAAAGCUCCGUCUUCAUUUAAAAAGAAAUGUACAUUUCUAGCUUUUCUGGUUGUAUAGAAAAACUUGAAAGAACAAAACAAGUGAACUGUAAGGCCAGUAGGCAACUUCCUGUCUGACUGAAGCCAGAAGGCAACCUCCUGUCCACCCCUCAAUCCCCUCCAAAACCUCCAAAUUUUUAUUAUUAUUGAAAAAAAUCUCAUGAUUUUUAAGCCAAUCUUAUGAUACACAACUUCUAAUUUUUUGAAUGCUUGGAUAGCAAUGCUUUAAAUUAUUUGUUACAAAUGAUCUGUAGGCCCUACAAAAGCAAAUAGAUUCUACAGGACAACACCCUGUGGGAAAAGGGUAUGUAUCUUGAUGAGUGAUUCAUUAUGCUGCAUUAAAUCAUUGGGCCUGCCUAACAUUAAAGUAUACCUAAUAAUCUCUUAUCUAAAUAACGUUCCCUUGAAAUCUUCCAUUUAAGCUUUUUUAUAUUGUUGGGGUGAAGGUAUAAACUGAUGAGUUGGAAAUUUGGCUGGAGGAAGCUGGCAGGUAGCAUUGGUCUCUAGAUACUAAGGUGUUUGGCAUAUUAAAAGAGAUCAGAUAGAGAGAGAAUAUUCACUAAGCCUUCCUCCCAAGUGUAUUAUUUGGAGGACUGUUAAAGGAGGCGGAUGACUUUUGGAGAGCAAGACUGAAAUUAUCCCAAAAGAAAUUAAAUGUUUCUUUGAGAGGACCUAAUUGGUCAAAGCUUUUAGAAAAUACUAACCAGUGUUCAGGCAUUAAUAGGAAUUUCACUAAAUCAGAAAUGCUAUUUUAUGUCCAGCACUAGUAUAGAAGAAGCAGAGUGAUUUGAAGUUACUGCGAGAGCAGUUCAUAAUGAUAUAUACACCAUACUUGGUUUGUACUUGUUUUCUUAUCUUCUCUCUUUUUUCAAUUUUUUUUAAUAUUGCUUCCUCAUAGGGUUGAUUUCUUCUUGCACAUUUUCAUGCUGCAUGAUUUUCAAAAGCAACCAGCAUUAUUCACUGUCUUGAUUUGGGGAGACCUGAUCUGAAACACUUUGAAUGGGCUUGGUGAUCAGACUGUGGUGAUCAACAUUUCCUGAAUAUAAGAUUCCUUAAUACGAUUCAAGUUGCUUCAUCUAGACCAGUAUCCAAUCUCUGAUAGGGGCUGGUACUAAAAACUUAAGAAGAAGGUAGAAGACUCUCCUAACAGGCAUUUAAUGAAUAAUUGGUCUAAAGGGGAGGUUGAUUCCUAAACUACAUCUGCUAGUGAUUGGUGGGUGUGUCUACAAGUUUGCUUUAAUGUGCAAUAGCCUAUUUUACUGUGCAUGUCAAAAACCAUACUAUGUUAGUGUGCAGUAAAAAUAGGCUACUGUUAUUAAGCAUCACUAAAGUAGUGCACAUUUUCACUACUGCACAGUAAGGCAGCCUAAUGCAUAUUUAUUUAGUACCUCACAUUAGAGAGAGUAAAUUUAAAGUGCAUUAGGAAAAGCACAUUAAUGAACAUGUAGAUACGCCUGGUGUGUGCUCCUACAUCUUCCAAUUUUUUUUGAAUGUCGUUCUAGAGUCUCCUCCUUCUUCAUGUACACAUCUCAUCAGUUCUGAAGUUCUUGGCUUCAGUGUUAUCUUGUGCAAUAAAUUCCACGUGAUAAAUGGAUAUAGACACACAAAUGCUUGGAGCCCUUUCAAAAGGGAAAUGUUUCAAAAGGGUAGCAGCUGGUACAUUCUACAUUCUAAUCAUUGUGUGUGAAUGAGUUAAGAAAAACUGAAAUAGCAAAACUGCUUCAAGUUAAUGGGUGACUGGUGCCUCCUGAGCCACUGGUGUACCAUGGGUCUCUGAUGCCUGGGUGCCAAUGCCUGCAUUGCACUCCCUGCUCAUCCAUGGCCAAUGGCUGGGGGAGUUCCUCUGUGUUCCCUCUCAGCUCUGUGUUCUUGGGGAACCCUGGCACAGUACAUAGCCAGUCUGACUCACAAAGGACUCACCCCCUCCCCACCUCUGCCUGAACAAGAACUAAUUAGAGGAAGGACUUACAAAACACAAUGAAGAUGCAGAGGGAGACACAUAUAAAGCCCUCUAGACAAGGGUGGUAAGAGUGAAGCAACUCCCCUGCUCUCAUUUGCAUCAGGGAUGGAACUGGAUGACAUCUCAUUGAAAUGGGAGAUAGGCCAGGAAUGUACCUUCAUUAGCAAUCAGGAUGGAGAACAAAGAUGCCAAAGCAAGGACUGCUCUGAAUUCUGGGAACAGAGAAGCAGGUGAGCACUGCAUGAUGGGGGCUCCCUGCUCCAAAUGAGAAUCAACCCACAUCUACACACACCCAGCUCAGCAUUUAUCAGACCAAUUCUAGUAAUGACUCCUUUAUUGGUACCCAAAACACUGAAUCUGCCUAUCUGUAUCAUGAACUCCCUCAUAGUAAUGCCACCCACAGCAAGGAGUGAUCAGUUCCUUUAUCCAGCACAUGGGCAAUUGUUUACCUGUAAACAAAACUAGUGUUCUCCCUUGAGCCAUAGUUAGUUCUCUACAAAACCCCCUACCUAAGCUCAAGUUUCUGUCCUGGUGCUUGGAUCCAAAAGCUGCACCAGUUCCAUUCCUUUUCUGCCUGGGAUCCCUUCAUCAAUUGUGCUGAGGACUCUACCUGCUUGCAAGCUUCACCAAACACCUGGGAACUUCAACUGGUUCAAGUUUCACUGAGUGGUGAGACCCCAACUCUCUCUCUGUUUCUGACUCCAGGAACCUGACUUUUAUUCACUUAUUCCAGGCACAGCUUUCUAAGCCUGACUUUUGCUAAUCAAAUUUGAGCUAGGCUUCCCUAAAUACCUAAUUGAAACAAUGUAAUAUUGUAACUGUUUUAUUUGUCUCUCUUGUAUGUCUAUUACUACUGUAUCAUCAUAAGUUCAUACACCUGGCAAUAAAUAACUUUUAUGGUCAA